GACCAGGGUGAGAGAGGGCAAACUUGAAUGCCCUUCACAAUGGAGAGAUGUGUGCAGACCGGACAGACAUCAGUUCCUUUAUCAGUGCACAGGUAGCUGCAAUGCCUGCAUGUGGAGAGAUAAAACCCAGACAAAGAGGCAGACAUGAGCAGAUGAGCUCCCCCGAACAGGAGACAAGUGGGCUGAGAGGUGAAGGAAGAGGAUGAGGGCAGCCACGAACGCUCAAUGAGACAUGACAAGUCAAGUGUGGAGCCCAAGCCCUUCGCCCAGAGGAGCUCAAAAAAUAUUAGCAGCCGUUACCAUUGGAGCCUCUGCCUCCUAGACCUGCCUCAAUAUCUAUGGAGGGUGGGAGCAGAGUCACUUUUCCUCACUGGACCUCAAUUUACUCCUCAGAAAGACAGCAGUGAUGAUGCCCUCUCAAGAUACCCUCUAACUCCAGAAUCCCUCUCUCUAUUGAUCAUGUAGGAUGAGGCAGUCCAAGUUAAAACAAACACUUU